rnacentral:lncRNA from 1 species
AGCGCACACAAUUAGGAUUAGAACUUUAGAAGUUCACCCAAGAUUCAAUUUAGCGGCCCUAUUGUUUGCAGUUGAGAGCACUUUCCCUUCCGUUCAUUUAUGAAUAACUUGUUAAUGUCUCAAGUGUGAGCGUAGUUCUGCUGUGACAGAAUUUCACAGGUGGUGACAAUAUCAAGAAUCGAGCUGCGUACACCAGAGAAGGAGGGAAACAGGUCUUUGCAGUUCUACAAAGUGCAAUGGGAUCUUCA